UGUAACUACUACUGCUUAUCUCUGUUCACAUUAAAAUUAUGAAAGUUUCUAUUCCAAAAUUUAUAUUUCAGUUGGUUUCUGAACUUUUGUCUAUUGCUUGGAUAUCCGUUGUUCGUUGAUACUGUGCCAAACUUUAUUUAAGUUAGUAUGUGUUUUUUUGUUGGAAUUCACUUAUCAAGUUAGAUUUACAAUACACCAAUGGACUACAUAUAACGUUAUCUACAUCUAUUCCAAGUCUCGAACCUGGAAAAUACUAUCUCAUCAUACUAAUCCAUCUAUCUCUUGAAUAUUUUCUAAAUAAAUUUAUCCAUUGAAUUCCAACUAUUAAAUAAUUAAACUAAAAAUCAUGUCUACUUCUUUUCUAUUUUUUCUUUUAAUCUAUGGAUGUACCUUCUUUCAUUCGUUGAUAAUCAUUUUAUUAAGAGUAAAAUGGAAAAUUUAAAGUUAAAUAUUUUUGUAACUCAUAAAAUAAAUGUAUAUAAUUAUAAAUAAUAUUUAUUUAAUAUUUUUAUUAUGAUUGAGAUAGUUUGGGAAUAACGUGCAACUGCACGUUAAUAGAGACUAGUUAUUAUGAAAGCAUGAAUAUAAAUGUUGAUUGACCAAAAUAUCCUUUAAAUAUUGAACGACUUUUGUACCCUUAUUAGUUAAAAUCUUCUCUAAAAAGUUCAUUUCAUAUUGGAUAAAAUUGUAAUAUUAAUUAUUUCCUAAUAUCUAGGACUUCGAAUCAAACUGAAAACCCAAAAUCCUAAAACCAACGUUACUUCCUUUUCUUUUCGUUUAUAAAUUUGAGUUAGUAGGAAAUAAGGACUCUACUUACUCAUUAUCUUUGAAUUUUAAGAAAUUAGCAAGUUCUAGCAAAAUAAAACUAAGAAAAACUUUUUCCCUAGCAGUUCUUACUACUGUCGUUUUUUGUUUUUUAUUAUAUGUUUCCUUUAAAUUUUUUACAUGACAACAUUUUGUUUGAAUAAAAACUUCAAUACAAUAAUUGAGAUCAAGUAACAUAUGAAUGCAACUACUUUUAAUUUAAUUUUUGGCAUUAUUGUUCAUUUGUUAGUAUUACUUUUUCAGCCAUCUUCUUAUUGGGUAUUUUAAUCUCAUUCUUUAUCUUAUACCAAAUAAAGUGAAUGAUGUAGAAACGUAAGGUUGGAGUUAAUUUAAGAAAAUGUAACCAAACCAAUAUCAAGUAUUUCAAAGAACUAUCCCGAGAGCAAAUUGAAGUUUAUGAAGUUAGAUUUGUACUACCUUGAUUUCUAUUUUUAGAUUUGUACUACCUUGAUUUCUAUUUCCUAGCUCAACUAUAAAUAUUUUCUUAAUAUUAAUGCAAUUUUUUUUUACUAUCUUUUGCACACAUUUUCUAAUAAAUAAAAAUUUCUAAAGCUGACGUAGUAACGCACGUCUACAGAGACUAGUUUAUUUAAAAGUAUUUAUAUGACGUCAGAAAUCAGCUUCAAGGUUUUCAGAAACUACAAUAACAAAGUAAUAGUAAAUAAUAAAAUAAAUUCAAAUAGAAAUAUCAAAAUGAUUUGCCCUUCUCUUAACGUCAUUUUCGCACUAUUUUUCUUCCAUUUUCUAGAUCGAAAUGCUCUGAAAAUCUCUCAAAUCUAUUGGUGGAUCUCUUGUAUGAAGUCUUUGCUUCUCUUGUUCCUUCUUCGUUCACGGUUUUCUUCCUCGAUUUUCAUUCAUUCUCUCUCAACUGUUAUUGUUGAAGUUACCAUUGUUGAACCCUUCAAGCUUUUGAAAAAUUCUUGGAAUUGGGUGUGCUUUCUACGUACAUUGGCUUGGGCAUUACUAAUUAGAGCUAUUUUUUGGUUAUUCUUUUAUCAGAUAAGCGAUAAAUCUUUUUGUGCACGGACUUUUUGAGGAUCGGUUCUGCGGAUUUACCUUUCUGCUUAUCUCACACAGAAGCAUACUAAAAGUCCACCCUGAAAAGUCAACUCUUUAAGAGAUCCUGGAGGGACGAGAUGCAAAGAAGCUUCAUUACUGAGCUUGCAUUCGGGGAGAUGUGGUUGCUGGCUGACUUGUUUUUAGUAGGUUGGAGUAUUCGGCAUCAAGAAGUUAUACUGAUGUGAGCAAGGCUGACCAAAACUCUCCUCAAAAACUACAAAUACCAAGUGGUCCAACAACACGAGCUCAAGCUAGAAAGUUUCAAGAAGAAAUACAAGGUUUGGAAAUAAGCUCGUGGGACAAGGAAUAGAAGCCCACAAAGCAUAUCUGCAGAAGGACCUGAAGAUAGACCACAUGACAUUGAUAUUCCCAAGAUUGAGAGGCUAUUUUUGGGCCUUUGGGGCAUGCUGAAAAGACCAGCUACUUAUUAGUUAUUUUCAGCUUAUUUAGCUAAUGGGCAAAAGUCCAUCUGAACCUUGUAUUUUCCUAGCUUUAUAUAGCUCAUUUUGGAGGUUGUAAAUGCUAGUUUAUAUUAAUCUUUGAAGACUCUUUGUGAGAGGUUUUGGGAUAGAUCCCUAUGUUCUUUUGUGAUCAAUUAUUGGUUGCUGCAAG